GGCGGGGUGUGGGCCCAACAUAAACGGGCUGUUGGGGUUGGGUAUAAGAUUGGCCUCUUGUUUGAUUUUGUGGAAAAAAAUGAGGAACAUGCGGAUUUCGCUACUGCCCAUUGUUGGGUUUGGAUCGAUUUUGUUGAGGCUGAAUUUUCUGACUCAUCAUUGUCGAAUCUUCUUGGAUGGGUUGAAUGGUGGGGACGAGUUGUGGAAUUAUGAUGUGUUCUUCUGAGAUUAUUAAGCCACGGACCUUCCCAAGGUCGGGAAGUGGAUCCAUGGCGAGAAUUUGAGUGCGAAGAACAUGAUAGGGUUCAUUGAUGCCCAUCAAAAGUAGGUAUACACGUCCAUUCGAUACCUUUUUUUGCCAUGCCUUGGCGGUGUUACACGUACAUUCCGAAGGUGGAUCAAUACCAUCAAGUUGAUCCCAAAGCGUCUUGAAGCUGUUGUAAUAAUUAGUGAUAUUGAGAUUACCUUGCUGAAGAUUGUCGAUCUCCCUUUGGAUUUUGAAGAUGGUAGCAUUAUUGCCUUUAGUGAAUUUUGACUCAAGUUCACACCACAGUUCGUACAGCGUGCAACAACUUGUUAAACUUGGUGUGAUUGAGUUGUCGAUGCUAUUAAGCAUUCAUGAAAGAACCAUUGAUGAAACUCGUUUCCAAAGGGGCUUAAUAUCCUCAUUUGUUGGGAACGGGAGUGAGUUGUUGAUGAAGCCUAAUUUAUUUUUCGCAUAAAGAGCCAUGGUGAUAGCACGAUUCUAAGACCCAUAGUUUGUGUGGGUCAAGGCAACAUCAACAAGGGGAUUUCGGGGAUGAUUAGUGGAGUGCAAAAAAUAAGGAGAGGAGAUAUCAGAAA